rnacentral:lncRNA from 1 species
AGGCAGACCAUGAGAUGGAGCUGAGUGAGCCUCUCUGGAAGGAUGAUAGCGAAGACUACCACGAGGCAGAGGAGCCAUGUGAAAGCGACAGUGUUCUCCAGUUCCUCUUGAAGGUAACCCAGAUGUUGGAAUCUUUCUGCAUUAGCAGCACAGAGUCAUCACAGACUCCGUGGGAUUAUUGUGGCUCGGGGAAGCAGAGGGAUGGGGAAGGAGAGAGGUGCCAGGAAAAGACCACAGGAACAGCAGUCUCGGGAACAGAGCAAAGUCAGCCACACACCCUGGCAAAAGAUGAGGAAGAACACUUCCUGGGAAGAGAGGAUGAGACUCAAGAGACACCUGGAGAACCACCUGUGGAUGAGCUGCAUCCACCAGAG